UACGAAGGGGGCUAGCGUUGUUCGGAAUCACUGGGCGUAAAGCGCACGUAGGCGGUCCAGCAAGUCGGGUGUGAAAGCCCUCGGCUUAACCGAGGAAGUGCAUUCGAAACUACUGGACUUGAAUACUGAAGAGGAUCGCGGAAUUCCCGGUGUAGAGGUGAAAUUCGUAGAUAUCGGGAGGAACACCAGUGGCGAAGGCGGCGAUCUGGGCAGAUAUUGACGCUGAGGUGCGAAAGCGUGGGGAGCAAACAGG
rnacentral:rRNA from 1 species